UAUGUUGCUCAGGCUAGUCUUGAACUCCUGGGCUCAAGUGAUUCACCCACCUCUGCCUUCCCAAAGUGCUGGGAUUAUAGGUGUGAACCACCCCACCCGACAAGUGUUUACAUUUCUUACAUGUAUAGCAGCUAGAAAGCAAAGAGUUGAUUAGUGUAUUGGAACUCCCUGUUUUCAUGUUGUAUUAGGUUGACAAAGUGGAGAUUAUAGACAUUACGUGUCCUGAAAGAAUCUAACAGCAGAAGAGCUGCUGUGUGUAAAAGUACUGUGCUUGGCCUUCCCAGACACAAAUCACUGUUAAACUGGGGAAGGAAUGGGAACUGGGAAGGGACUGGGUUG